rnacentral:rRNA from 1 species
CUAACCAGGAUUCCCCUAGUAACGGCGAGUGAAGCGGGAAGAGCUCAAAUUUGUAAUCUGGCGGUCUCAGACCGUCCGAGUUGUAGUCUGGAGAAGCGUCUUCCGUGCCGGCCCGUGUACAAGUCCCUUGGAACAGGGCGUCAUAGAGGGUGAGAAUCCCGUCUUUGACACGGACUGCCGGUGCUCUGUGAUGCGCUCUCGAAGAGUCGAGUUGUUUGGGAAUGCAGCUCAAAACGGGUGGUAAAUUCCAUCUAAAGCUAAAUAUUGGCGAAAGACCGAUAGCGAACAAGUACCGUGAGGGAAAGAUGAAAAGCACUUUGGAAAGAGAGUUAAACAGUACGUGAAAUUGUUGAAAGGGAAACGCUUGAAGUCAGUCACGUCUUCCGGGACUCAGCCGGGCACAUUUGUGUCCGGUGUACUUCCCGGUCUGACGGGCCAGCAUCGAUUUCGACCGUCGGAGAAAGGCUCAGGGAAUGUGGCACCUCCGGGUGUGUUAUAGCCUCGAGUCAUAUGCGACGGUCGGGAUCGAGGAUCGCAGCAUGCCUUCAUCGGCCGGGGUUCGCCCACGCAACAUGCUUAGGAUGCUGGCGUAAUGGCUUUAAGCG